GACGAACGCUGGCGGCGUGCUUAACACAUGCAAGUCGAACGGAAAGGCCCUGCUUUUGUCGGGUGCUCGAGUGGCGAACGGGUGAGUAACACGUGAGUAACCUGCCCUUGACUUUGGGAUAACUUCAGGAAACUGGGGCUAAUACCGGAUAGGAGCUCCUGCUGCAUGGUGGGGGUUGGAAAGUUUCGGCGGUUGGGGAUGGACUCGCGGCUUAUCAGCUUGUUGGUGGGGUAGUGGCUUACCAAGGCUUUGACGGGUAGCCGGCCUGAGAGGGUGACCGGCCACAUUGGGACUGAGAUACGGCCCAGACUCCUACGGGAGGCAGCAGUGGGGAAUAUUGCACAAUGGGCGGAAGCCUGAUGCAGCAACGCCGCGUGCGGGAUGACGGCCUUCGGGUUGUAAACCGCUUUCGCCUGUGACGAAGCGUUAGUGACGGUAAUGGGUAAAGAAGCACCGGCUAACUACGUG
rnacentral:rRNA from 1 species